rnacentral:lncRNA from 1 species
CAAUGUUUCGUGCUGGUUGGCGUACAUUGCUGGGAAGCCCUCUGAGUUUAGUUUCACACCCAAGAAACGGUUUAUCAUUUGGACUUCCCAAUAAGAAGUUAUGGUCAGUUUAUUGGAAACUGCUAUGGAGGCCAACAGUCACACGAAGCCAGUUCGGGAAUCCAUUCUGAGGGGACCUUUCACAUUGCCUUCCCUCAGAAACUCUAUUUUGUUUUCAUACCUAUCUAGUAGGGCAGUUGCUAGUAUAAAUACCCCCUAAGACUCAUUAUAAUCUAAGACUUUUGAUAAUUGAAAUACAGAACCCCUUUUAUUUAGUUGUGUGCUAACAAAUAUUUAGAGAGUGAUCUCUACCCCUUGCUCUUGUUAUUUCCUCGUAGGAUUGCAGAAGCGGCACCUUCAUCCGCUCCCAACUGGUGCUCCUACUCCCUUGAAGGUAUUCCUUGAUUAAUUGUAGGCUGUGUUGGUUGGUUCCUUGAGAGUGUGGUUGGGCAAAUCCUCGAUUCAGGUUGUCGGUUAAAGAUGGUGGUUGGCUUCGAGUUUUAUUUACCAGGUUGCACUAGUUAUCGCUACUUGCAGCAAGUUAUUCGGCUGUUCUUCAGCUAGUUAUCGCUGUUCUUCCUACGUCGUAAAGAUCGGGACAACGUGUCGCAUCAAAGGACCACCAGUCAUUUACCCUUCAUCAGUUGGUGCCGUCACGCUCUAAUAAUAAAGUUAAUAUUCUAAGGUAAGUGGUCACUCUAUUCUCUUGAUCUUGGUGCGCACAUAAGUAAAGACACAAACAUAUUAGACUUACAACAUAAAUUGAUUAACUCAAUAUGCUUUGCUCUUUAAAAUUGUUCAUGGCACCAUUCUCUUAAUCUCAGUCUUAACUGAACAAGUUAAAAUAUUAUAUUCAAUCUUGGGAAGAUGAUAGUCAUCCUUAUUUGAAAAUUUAUAUAGAGAUAGAUAAUCGUUCCAUUCGUUAAGCAAUUUCAUUAUUUUCUAUCAUGUAAAUGCAACACUAAAUGCUUAAUUUUUUGAUCUUACCACUCAUAAAUAAAUAAAUCAUGUAACACAACUUUAUCUUGUUUAAUGUGCCUAAGGAUAGAGAAAAAUAAAUAAAGAAACAGAUUUGGUUUUGAUGGUGUUUUCCACCAGCAGAGCCAAUGCACUUGAUCUCUACCUUAGUUUUUUAAACAGGACAACACAUCAAGCAAAGUUUAUUAAUUCUACAAGUCAAAGUUCUGUGAAUAUGCACACUGAGCAAGAUGCUGCCAGCUACUAUUAACUCUCCUUCAACCUGCUAGCCAAAUCAAAGAACAAAGGUUACAUCAUCAUCACUAGAGGUAUGCAACUAACAAGACCUCCAUCUCUCAAGAUGGAGAGAUACACAAGAGUGGAAGAAGUCCUUCGGUAAAUUUUAAAAUUUUUAUAUUCUUGCCAUAAUGUAAUAUGGUAGUUAUAUAUUUAAUUAGUAUUUCUUUCUACAUUAAUAAAUUUACCUUAACAUAUUCAUCUUCAUAAAUACUAAAAAUAAAAUAAAAUAAAAUAAAAAUCUUUAUUCCUUCAUUUACUACAUCAUAAAAAACCUAAGCCCCAUAAGAAUAAAUAUUCUCUGUGGAGGCAUAAAAAUACAACUAUAUAUAUCAUGCACACAUAUUUAAUUUCUACAUAAUUAAACUAGAAAAUCCUAAAAAAAGAGAAUCCUGCUAGAAUCUAUCAAUUCAAAUCAACUCAAAGAAUAAUAAAUCACUUAUUGGCUGACCCCUAACCCAUUAUUAAAUUCGAGCCUCGAGUUUUGGUUUUCCUUUUGGAGUGUAAUUAUGCAGGAACAACAUUAUGACAAGGAGAGAGUCUAUUAGUGGCACCCACCUAGAGCGCUGCCGGUUAGCUCGCUCUGAAGAUCAUCAACACCACUAUUGCAAACAUCUAGCUUAGGGGAGGAGCAUCACCUAGUUAUCAGGUAACUAUACCUACGCGAUUAUCGAGUCUAUUUUAUAUGGUCACAAAAUACCAAAAAUAUGUGAGCACAUGAAAGUUCACAAUAGGAUCAUAAGAAAAUAUAAAAAUACCAAAAAUAUAUGGGCACAUGAAGAUCCAUGUCUUUAAGUCUUAUGAUCCAAUAGAAAUAAAAAGAUGGAUAAUAAUUGAAAAUAAAAAACAAAAUACUUAUCUAUAUAUUAAGGUGUGAUCAUAGAGUGUGUCUACAGUGAGUCUAGUUUAGAGUCAAAUAAAAAUUAGAGAACAUUAAAAUUUUGUCUUCGAGAUGAUGAAUAGUUGCUCUAUAGUAAUUCCUUUCAAGUGCCUAGUUUUCAACCAUGAAUUCUCCUGAGUUUUAGACAUGACCACUUUAAUAUAAGAAUUUACUCUGAACUUAAAAUUUGUGGAGGCAUUUGUUUAAGCUGAGUCUAGGUAAUUGAUAUUGUACAUGAAGGUCUAAGCUGCUAUUUAUCUUAUUCCUAGCAUUACUAAGUUUUGGAGAUUUAGUUUCAACAAAACCAAAAUCUUAUAUGACGAGCUCUUGUAUGAUAAAUGUCAAAUUCCUACCAAAGCCAUACGAUACAUUUAGAGUUAGGAAAACCUUUCCACAUUCAUGUUGCUUGCUUUACAUUGAGUUUAGUCAACCUUUGGAGUAUACCUUAUGAGAGUCUUGUCAUGCUUUUAAAAAUAAGAUCACUUACGCACUCCACCCAUAUAUGCAAUACUCCUACUCUGGGAUGUAAGCCUAGUCAUUUCCACUUUCAUCCAGAUCCACCUUAAAAAUAUUUUCUCCUACACUAGGAGUAAACACCCAAAAAUAUACCCUAUAGGACAGCCCCCAUUUAACUGCUCUAAGUUCUUAUCAUUAUCUAUCCGAUUAUUUAUAUUCAAAGGAUGCAUGUGGCUAUGCAAAAGUAUUGAAAAAAAUAAGAGAAGAAGAAAUGUGGGAGUAAAAGAUGGAGAAGUGUCCCAACAAUUAAAACAAUGGGUACACAGAUGCCCGCCUCCCAUAUUAAAAAAAGAAAAAGGAAAAAUAAGAAAGAAAGAAAUAAUAAAUAUAUUCCUGCGAAAAGUUCUAAGGAGGGCGUAAUUUUCAAAGAACAAAUGUAGAAUUAGGAUUAGCCACUAAAUACUAUAUAUACACCUAUCCACCAUAUUCCAUACACAUACACAUCUUGAUUUGAUUGUAUGCCUCGAUUCUCUAUGGAUCCAUUGUUUGAUAUUACAGUAUAUGAAAUGCAAGUAUGUUCAUCCUUGUUAUUGCCACUCCUAUAAGCUCCACUAUAUAUAUCCUUAGUUGCAGGAAGGCAUCCUCAGCGAGAUCCAUAAAUACUACAUAAUAAGAGACUUGAGGAUGUCAUACAAUCAUGCUUUGAGCUUUAUUUUGAAAACUUGCAAAACUCUAGAAUAUUGGUACUGUGAAGAAUUUGAGACAUAGUGCUUGACUUGAUUGUUCUAUCUUUUGAUUACUCAAGACUUAUGCAAAAGUUGUAAUGCUCUAUGUUUAAAGGUAAAAUGGGUAAGUUUGAAAGUUAGAUCGGAGGAAAAUUUAUGGUUAAAAACAAAUGUACUUAAAAGAAAUGAAAGUAUUAUAGCAACUCCUGAUCCAAGUUUAUUAAUAAUUAGAUCUAGGUUGUUUGCCAAGGGAUGGGCAAAAGGUAAGCUUGGGGGAAUUGUUGACGGUCGAUAAUGUUCAUAUUUAUUAGAACUUUCGACAUGAAAGGAUACAGGAAUACACACUAGUCUAGGGUUUUAACUGACAACUUCCACGAGUUUUGGUGGUUCUAUAUUUUCUAGGGAUUAUUCAAGAAAAGCAUAAAAGAGGGGAUUAUAGUGCAUAAUUACCACGAAACUUAUCCACAAUGGAAAACAUCACGAGAAGACUCAGGAAUAGUCUAGAAGACACUCGAAGGAGUGGGGCCUACAGGGGAGCCUAGGUGGGGCCGGCCGGACCCACCCUAGGGCCGGUCGACGCCCUUGGUCAACCGAUGGCCGCCGCCUUCUAGAGUCUUCCUCCUACGCCUCAUUAGAAGCCAAGCAAAGUAUCGCUACGUUGAUUCUAGGGUCAGUUUGAUCCGACGGUGCAUGCAAGACGAAGACGUGGAUCAAUGAUGUGGCGGUUCCUUGCCCCCUUACUCCACCUCGGGCUAUAUAAUGAUGCCCC